rnacentral:rRNA from 1 species
GAUGAACGCUGGCGGCGUGCCUAAUACAUGCAAGUCGAGCGAACAGACGAGGAGCUUGCUCCUCUGACGUUAGCGGCGGACGGGUGAGUAACACGUGGAUAACCUACCUAUAAGACUGGGAUAACUUCGGGAAACCGGAGCUAAUACCGGAUAAUAUAUUGAACCGCAUGGUUCAAUAGUGAAAGACGGUUUUGCUGUCACUUAUAGAUGGAUCUGCGCCGCAUUAGCUAGUUGGUAAGGUAACGGCUUACCAAGGCGACGAUGCGUAGCCGACCUGAGAGGGUGAUCGGCCACACUGGAACUGAGACACGGUCCAGACUCCUACGGGAGGCAGCAGUAGGGAAUCUUCCGCAAUGGGCGAAAGCCUGACGGAGCAACGCCGCGUGAGUGAUGAAGGUCUUCGGAUCGUAAAACUCUGUUAUUAGGGAAGAACAAAUGUGUAAGUAACUAUGCACGUCUUGACGGUACCUAAUCAGAAAGCCACGGCUAACUACGUG